UACGUAGGGGGCUAGCGUUGUCCGGAAUCAUUGGGCGUAAAGAGCGCGUAGGCGGCCAGAUAAGUCCGGUGUGAAAGUCAAAGGCUCAACCUUUGAAUGCCGCUGGAAACUGUCUGGCUAGAGUCCGGGAGGGGCGAGUGGAAUUCCUGGUGUAGCGGUGAAACGCGUAGAUAUCGAGAGGAACACCUGCGGCGAAGGCGGGUGGCUGGGCCGACACUGACGCUGAGGCGCGAAAGCCAGGGGAGCGAACGGG
rnacentral:rRNA from 1 species